GGGCGGUUAGUUCAGCUGGUAGAACGCUUCGCUUACAUCGAAGAGGUUCGCAGGUUCGAGCCCUGCUCCGCCCACCA
rnacentral:tRNA from 1 species